rnacentral:rRNA from 1 species
GAGUUUGAUCCUGGCUCAGAGCGAACGCUGGCGGCAGGCCUAACACAUGCAAGUCGAGCGCCCGUAGCAAUACGGGAGCGGCAGACGGGAGAGUAACACGUGGGAACGCGCCCUUCGGUUCGGAAUAACUCAGGGAAACUUGAGCUAAUACCGGAUACGCCCUUACGGGGAAAGAUUUAUCGCCGAAGGAACGGCCCGCGUCCGAUUAGCUAGUUGGUGAGGUAAUGGCUCACCAAGGCGACGAUCGGUAGCUGGUCUGAGAGGAUGACCAGCCUCACUGGGACUGAGACACGGCCCAGACUCCUACGGGAGGCAGCAGUGGGGAAUAUUGGACAAUGGGCGCAAGCCUGAUCCAGCCAUGCCGCGUGGAUGAUGAAGGCCUUAGGGUUGUAAAGUCCUUUCGACGGAGAGGAUAAUGACGGUAUCCGUAGAAGGAGCCCCGGCUAACUUCGUGCCAGCAGCCGCAGU